AUUGAACGCUGGCGGCAGGCCUAACACAUGCAAGUCGAGCGGAUGAAGGUAGCUUGCUACCUGAUUCAGCGGCGGACGGGUGAGUAAUGCCUAGGAAUCUGCCUGGUAGUGGGGGACAACGUGUCGAAAGGAACGCUACUACCGCAUACGUCCUACGGGAGAAAGUGGGGGAUCUCCGGCCCUCACGCUAUCAGAUGAGCCUAGGCACGAUUAGCUAGUUGGUGAGGUAAAGGCUCACGAAGGCGACGAUCGUUAACUGGUCUGAGAGGAUGAUCAGUCACACUGGAACUGAGACACGGUCCAGACUCCUACGGGAGGCAGCAGUGGGGUAUAUUGGACAAUGGGCGAAAGCCUGAUCCAGCCAUGCCGCGUGGGUGAAGAAGGUCUUCGGAUUGUAAAGCACUUUAAGUUGGGAGGAAGGGCAGUAAGUUAAUACCUUGCUGUUUUGACGUUACCGACAGAAUAAGCACCGGCUAACUUCGUGCCAGCAGCCGCAGUAAAAC
rnacentral:rRNA from 1 species